rnacentral:lncRNA from 1 species
UAUAAUAACACGUGGUAUACUAUUUGUGUUACGGGCACAAGGAAAAAUUUCUCCAAGAUGACACCCAAGCUCAAGAAAUUGGGUGGAAAGCUACAUUUAUUAUUGUAGGUAUAUGAUAAAAGUGAGGAAAUUUUAAUUUGGUAAUUGAAAACAACUUUUUAAAUAUAAUUACUGAGAAUAGAAUCUUCUCAAGGUUUUGGUCUAAAGAGUCACUUCUGGGUUCAUCGUUUUUGACACAAUGGGUGCUUUUACAGGACCAAAAAGGGUUUAAGUUUCAAACUUUAUGAAACUAAACCAAGAAUUAAACACUAUUAAUGAAACUAAACCAAUAAGUAGACACUAUUAAUGAAACUAAACCAAUAAGUAGACACUAUUUACGAAACAGGACCAAUAAGUAUACACUAUUUAUGAAACGAAAACAAGAAUUGGGCAUUAUUUCCAAAAUUAAACCAAUAGGUGAAAACUAUAUAUGAAUUGUACUAUACACUAUUUAUGAAACUGGAGUAAGAACUAAACAAUAUUUAUGAAACAUGACCAAUAACUAGACACUAUUUAUGAAACGAAACCAAGAAAGAGAUACUAUUAAUGAAACUGUACCAUAUACUAUACAUUAUUUAUGAAACUGGAUCCAAUAAAUAGACAUUAUUUAUGAAAUAUGAUCAAGAACUAGACACUACUUAUGAAAGUGGACAAAAAACUAGGCACUAUUUAUUAAAUUGGACCAAUAAAUAGUAUAGUACCGUUUAGUUUCAUAAAUAGUGCAGUUUCAUAAAUAGUUUCAAUUUCAUAAAUAAUGUUUAGUUUCAUAAACAGUGUAUAGGUUAUGCGCACACGUCUUUGUGUAGGAUGUAGAUAGGAAAUUCAUAAAACGUCACAUGUAACCUGUAGUCUGUACUCUUUGUUCAGCCGUUGGCGAAGCUUUUAGGAAGAGAUGUUGAAUAAGUGAUAUAGUACUGAAUGGGUAAAAUGGGCAUCAGUGCUUUAGUUGCUAGUGCUAGUCUCUGUUAAUUAGUCAUUACAUCUGCACCGAGCUUGCUUUGGGUGGGAAGACGGCUUUUUCAGUGGUAGCACUGGCUGUCCGGAUUGUGCAGAAUUUCUAAAUAAAAAUAACUACCAGAACUUCUGAUUUAAAAAUAAUAACUAAAUAUAUAAGUUUUGCAUAAAUUCUGCGCCUUUUUAUGUUAAUGAUCAUUAAUAUAUGUUCUGUCUUCUG